rnacentral:rRNA from 1 species
UGCAAGUCGUACGCUUCUUUUUCCACCGGAGCUUGCUCCACCGGAAAAAGAGGAGUGGCGAACGGGUGAGUAACACGUGGGUAACCUGCCCAUCAGAAGGGGAUAACACUUGGAAACAGGUGCUAAUACCGUAUAACAAUCGAAACCGCAUGGUUUUGAUUUGAAAGGCGCUUUCGGGUGUCGCUGAUGGAUGGACCCGCGGUGCAUUAGCUAGUUGGUGAGGUAACGGCUCACCAAGGCCACGAUGCAUAGCCGACCUGAGAGGGUGAUCGGCCACAUUGGGACUGAGACACGGCCCAAACUCCUACGGGAGGCAGCAGUAGGGAAUCUUCGGCAAUGGACGAAAGUCUGACCGAGCAACGCCGCGUGAGUGAAGAAGGUUUUCGGAUCGUAAAACUCUGUUGUUAGAGAAGAAUAAGGAUGAGAGUAACUGUUCAUCCCUUGACGGUAUCUAACCAGAAAGCCACGGCUAACUACGUGC